CCUACGGGAGGCUGCAGUGGGGAAUAUUGGGCAAUGGGCGAAAGCCUGACCCAGCAAUGCCGCGUGAAUGAAGAAGGUCUUAGGAUUGUAAAAUUCUGUCCUAUGGGAAGAAAAAAAUGACGGUACCAUAGGAGGAAGCCCCGGCUAACUACGGGCCAGCAGCCGCGGUAAUACGUAGGGGGCGAGCGUUGUCCGGAAUUACUGGGCGUAAAGGGAGCGUAGGCGGACUUUUAAGGGAGAUGUGAAAUACUCGGGCUCAACUUGAGUGCUGCAUUUCAAACUGGAAGUCUAGAGUGCAGGAGAGGAGAAUGGAAUUCCUAGUGUAGCGGUGAAAUGCGUAGAGAUUAGGAAGAACACCAGUGGCGAAGGCGAUUCUCUGGACUGUAACUGACGCUGAGGCUCGAAAGCGUGGGGAGCAAACAGGAUUAGAUACCCUUGUAGUC
rnacentral:rRNA from 1 species